CGGAAUCCGGGAGGACCAUCUCCCAAGGCUAAAUACUCCCUAGUGACCGAUAGUGAACCAGUACCGUGAGGGAAAGGUGAAAAGCACCCCGGAAGGGGAGUGAAACAGUUCCUGAAACCGUGUGCCUACAAGUAGUUAGAGCCCGUUAAUGGGUGAUAGCGUGCCUUUUGUAGAAUGAACCGGCGAGUUACGAUUUGUUGCAAGGUUAAGCGGAAAAAGCGGAGCCGUAGCGAAAGCGAGUCUGAAUAGGGCGCAUAAGUAACAGGUCGUAGACCCGAAACCAGGUGAUCUACCCAUGUCCAGGAUGAAGGUAAGGUAAUACUUACUGGAGGUCCGAACCCACGCACGUUGAAAAGUGCGGGGAUGAGGUGUGGGUAGCGGAGAAAUUCCAAUCGAACUUGGAGAUAGCUGGUUCUCUCCGAAAUAGCUUUAGGGCUAGCCUCGAGGUAAAGAGUCAUGGAGGUAGAGCACUGUUUGGACUAGGGGCCCUUCUCGGGUUACCGAAUUCAGAUAAACUCCGAAUGCCAUGUACUUAUACUCGGGAGUCAGACUGCGAGUGAUAAGAUCCGUAGUCGAAAGGGAAACAGCCCAGACCACCAGUUAAGGUCCCCAAAUAUAUGUUAAGUGGAAAAGGAUGUGGGGUUGCUUAGACAACCAGGAUGUUGGCUUAGAAGCAGCCACCAUUGAAAGAGUGCGUAAUAGCUCACUGGUCGAGUGACCCCGCGCCGAAAAUGUACCGGGGCUAAACAUAUUACCGAAACUGUGGAUGAACCUCUUUAGAGGUUCGUGGUAGGAGAGCGUUCUAAGGGCGGUGAAGUCAGACCGGAAGGACUGGUGGAGCGCUUAGAAGUGAGAAUGCCGGUAUGAGUAGCGAAAGAAGGGUGAGAAUCCCUUCCACCGAAUAUCUAAGGUUUCCUGAGGAAGGCUCGUCCGCUCAGGGUUAGUCGGGACCUAAGCCGAGGCCGAUAGGCGUAGGCGAUGGACAACAGGUAGAGAUUCCUGUACCAGUGCUAAUUGUUUAACCGAUGGGGUGACACAGAAGGAUAGGGAAUCGCACGAAUGGAAAUGUGCGUCCAAGCAGUGAGUGUGAGAAGUAGGCAAAUCCGCUUCUCGCGAAGCAUGAGCUGUGAUGGGGAAGGAAAUUAAGUACGGAAGUUCCUGAUUUCACGCUGUCAAGAAAAGCCUCUAGGAAGAGUAGUACUGCCCGUACCGCAAACCGACACAGGUAGAUGAGGAGAGAAUCCUAAGGUGAGCGAGAGAACUCUCGUUAAGGAACUCGGCAAAAUGACCCCGUAACUUCGGGAGAAGGGGUGCUCUAUUAGGGUGCAAGCCCGAGAGAGCCGCAGUGAAUAGGCCCAGGCGACUGUUUAGCAAAAACACAGGUCUCUGCAAAACCGUAAGGUGACGUAUAGGGGCUGACGCCUGCCCGGUGCUGGAAGGUUAAGAGGAGUGCUUAGCUUCGGCGAAGGUACGAAUUGAAGCCCCAGUAAACGGCGGCCGUAACUAUAACGGUCCUAAGGUAGCGAAAUUCCUUGUCGGGUAAGUUCCGACCCGCACGAAAGGCGCAACGAUCUGGGCACUGUCUCAACGAGAGACUCGGUGAAAUUAUAGUACCUGUGAAGAUGCAGGUUACCCGCGACAGGACGGAAAGACCCCGUGGAGCUUUACUGCAACCUGAUAUGGAAUGUUUGUACCGCUUGUACAGGAUAGGUAGGAGCCGAAGAGACGUGUGCGCUAGCAUACGAGGAGGCAAUGGUGGGAUACUACCCUGGCUGUAUGACCAUUCUAACCCGCCACGCUUAGCGCGUGGGGAGACAGUGUCAGGUGGGCAGUUUGACUGGGGCGGUCGCCUCCUAAAGAGUAACGGAGGCGCCCAAAGGUUCCCUCAGAAUGGAUGGAAAUCAUUCGCAGAGUGUAAAGGCACAAGGGAGCUUGACUGCGAGACUGACAAGUCGAGCAGGGACGAAAGUCGGGCUUAGUGAUCCGGUGGUUCCGCAUGGAAGGGCCAUCGCUCAACGGAUAAAAGCUACCCCGGGGAUAACAGGCUUAUCUCCCCCAAGAGUCCACAUCGACGGGGAGGUUUGGCACCUCGAUGUCGGCUCGUCGCAUCCUGGGGCUGUAGUCGGUCCCAAGGGUUGGGCUGUUCGCCCAUUAAAGCGGCACGCGAGCUGGGUUCAGAACGUCGUGAGACAGUUCGGUCCCUAUCCGUCGCGGGCGCAGGAAAUUUGAGAGGAGCUGUCCUUAGUACGAGAGGACCGGGAUGGACACACCGCUGGUGUACCAGUUGUUCCGCCAGGAGCAUCGCUGGGUAGCUAUGUGUGGCAGGGAUAAACGCUGAAAGCAUCUAAGCGUGAAGCCCCCCUCAAGAUGAGAUUUCCCAUUUCUUCGGAAAGUAAGAUCCCUGAAAGAUGAUCAGGUAGAUAGGUUUGGAGUGGAAGUGUAGCGAUACAUGGAGCGGACAAAUACUAAUCGAUCGAGGACUUAACCAAAA
rnacentral:rRNA from 1 species